rnacentral:rRNA from 1 species
UCCGUUGAUCCCGCCGGAGGCUACCGCUAUUGGAGUUCGAUUAAGCCAUGCGAGUCGCGAGUCUUAGGGACUCGGCGUACCGCUCAGUAACACGUGGGUAACCUGCCCUAUGCUGGGGGAUAACCUCGGGAAACUGAGAAUAAUACCCCAUAGUUCACCACGCCUGGAACGGUGGGUGGAUGAAAGCUCCGGCGGCAUAGGAUGGGCCUGCGGCGUAUCAGGUUGUAGGGGGUGUAAUGUACCCUCUAGCCAUCUACGCGUACGGGUGUUGGGAGACAUCGCCCGGAGAUGGAUUCUGAGACACGAAUCCAGACCCUACGGGGUGCAGCAGGCGCGAAAACUUGGCAAUGCGAGCAAUCGUGACCAGGGAACUCCAAGUGCAUCGGGUAAGACCGAUGCUUUUCUUGACUCUUCAAAGGUCUUGGAAUAAGGGGUGGGUAAGGACGGUGCCAGCCGCCGCGGUAAUACCGGCGCCUCAAGUGGUAGUCGCUUUUAUUGGGCCUAAAACGUCCGUAGCCGGUUUGGUACAUUCGUGGGUAAAUCAAGGCGCUCAACGUCUUGAAUUCUGCGAGCACGGCCAGACUUGGGACCGGGAGAGGUGUGGGGUACUCUCAGGGUAGGGGUAAAAUCCUGUCAUCCUGAGAGGACCACCUGUUGCGAAGGCGCCACACUAGAACGGAUCCGACGGUCAGGGACGAAACCUAGGGGCACGAACCGGAUUAGAUACCCGGGUAGUCCUAGGUGUAAACGCUGUGGACUUGAUGUUGGGAGUGCUCCGAGCACCCUCAGUGUCGAAGCGAAGGUGAUAAGUCCACUGCCUGGGGAGUACGGUCGCAAGGCUGAAACUUAAAGGAAUUGGCGGGGGAGCACUGCAACCUGAGGAUUGUGCGGUUUAAUUGGAUUCAACGCCGGA